rnacentral:lncRNA from 1 species
GUACCACUUCUUAUUGAUCAAAUCAAUUCUUCUUCCUAGUUUUCUUUAUUUUUUAUUUUUUUGUAUUUGCUCAAGGCAGUCUUCCUAAAGUCCAAACAAGUGUUCAUUGUGGGCAUGAAGUGAAACCCCAACCUCUCCACCACAUGUUUGGCACGGAAUCACAGAACUCAACACAACAGCUGCCUUCACUAUCAUAUGUGCAUACUGAAUAAGAGAUUUCUGCUUUACAAGAAGCUAUUUCAGAAAGUCCAACAUACAGCUGCUCUAUCUUCAUAUGUCACUCCUUGAAGGAAGUCAUUUUACCGACUGUUCUGGACUUUUUUCUUUUUUUGGUCUGUACUCACAUACUAUAAGUGAAUAAAAUCCCAAAUAUAUGCUUCCA